GCCUUGGCGUGAGGGCCAUGGCCGCCCGUACCCCAAACCGACACUGGUGGUCAGGUAGAGAAUACCAAGGCGAUCGAGCGAAUCCUGGUCAAGGAACUCGGCAAAUCACUCCCGUGCCUUCGGUAUAAGGGAGACCCACUGGGGUGAAGGACCUUGCGUCCGGAGCUUUGGUGGGUGGCACAGACCAGGGGGUAGCGACUGUUUACCAAAAACACAGGUGCAUGCGAAGGCGAAAGCCGCUGUAUAUGCACUGACGCCUGCCCGGUGCCGGAAGGUUAAGAGGAUCCGUCAGCCUUCGGGUGAAGCGGUGAAUUCAAGCCCCGGUAAACGGCGGUGGUAACUAUAACCAUCCUAAGGUAGCGAAAUUCCUUGUCGGGUAAGUUCCGACCUGCACGAAUGGCGUAACGACUUCCCCACUGUCUCGACCAGGAGCUCGGCGAAAUUGCAGUACGAGUAAAGAUGCUCGUUAAGCGCAGAAGGACGAAAAGACCCCGGGACCUUUACUAUACCUUGGUAUUGGCAUUCGGUGUGGAUUGUGUAGCAUAGGCGGGAGGCUUCGAAGCGUGGGCGCCAGCUCAUGUGGAGCCGCAAGGUGAAAUACCGCUCUGUUCUCGUUUGACGUCUAACCUCGACAAGUCAUCCUUGUCAGGGACAGUGCCUGGCGGGUAGUUCAACUGGGGCGGUUGCCUCCCAAAGAGUAACGGAGGCGCUCAAAGGUCCGCUCAGCCCGGUUGGCAAUCGGGUGGCGAGUGCAAGUGCACAAGCGGGCUUGACUGCGAGGACGACGGUCCGAGCAGGGACGAAAGUCGGAGAUAGUGAUCCGGUGCCGGCGCACGGGCGCGGCAUCGCUCAACGGAUAAAAGGUACCCCGGGGAUAACAGGCUGAUCAUUCCCAAGAGUCCAUAUCGACGGGAUGGUUUGGCACCUCGAUGUCGGCUCGUCGCAUCCUGGGGCUGGAGCAGGUCCCAAGGGU
rnacentral:rRNA from 1 species